GGGUAGCCUAAGAAAUCAUCUGAGAACCGGAGGGGCUCUGUCUAAUCGAAGACUGUGACUGGGGAGCCUCGGUUCUUUGCAGGGCCCAGAACCUGCCCCUCCAUCAGGUUCCAGACUCUGAGCCCGGGAGCGUGCAUUACCAGGAACAUGGAGACACGGUGGCUACACAUGAAGGUGGGUUCUGAUGAUGCUAGAUUGCUGUGGGCAGAUAUUCUGGGACUUCUCAGAGCCCUGAAAGAAAAUCUCCAGCCCCCUGCUUUUCAAGGUGGAGCUACCACCUGAAAUAGGAUGUGACCUAGCCUGAAUGUGCCUAGAAGUUUCAGCUCCUCUGUUUUCAUGAUCACUAGUAUUAGUGUUUCAUGAUCACUAGUAUUUACCUUCUC
rnacentral:lncRNA from 1 species